CAGAUCUCAUUCCCAAUUUUAUAAUUGACAAUACUCCACCGGGCGUAUAAAUAGUUUGUCCACCGAGUAACCUCCACCGUGUAUAAACCUGAAGAAGCCAACUUUGUCUUGCAGUUUACAAAACUUCUGGUGCUGAUCUAAACAAAAUAUCUGUAAUUGCUUUGUCUGCCUGUCGGUGCUCCCUUUCAGGACCAGAUAAUUUGUAUGUAGAGAAGACGACAAUCGACAACUACAACAAACUCGAACUCCUUUUGGUAUCGACGACUUCAGUUAUUCAGGAGUUAUUCCUGAUCCGCUGGCUCGCUUCACAAGGCUGCGAAUGGCAAAAUUCCAAAUCCUUUGGGGAGCGAUUGAUCCAAAAAUUAUCAAAGCUUAAAAACGUAUACAAAAAUUUUCAAAAAAUCCAAAGGGAAAUGCUACAAAGUGGGGACGUGACUACUUGGGAUAUCACACUUAUCACGCUCCUCCUUAAGCAACCCAUUUACCAAGGAUACAAAACCGAGGUUGAUAUCACAAAUGAAAACACGGUUAUCGAAGAGGCUAGCAAAAUUCGAAAUCAGCUGGCUCAUAAGUCACUAAAAACGUUAAACGACGACGAGUUCGAAGAACAUGUCUCCAAUAUUCGCAGAAUUUUGGGCGUUCUUUCCAUCCCACAGGAGCAAAUUGACGAUAUGUGCGCAGACGCGAGGAAGGGUGCCAUUACUCCCAUCGGCGAGUAGUACUCCUCAAAGACGAAGGGAACCAGUUCUAUUCAUCUGGCCAAUUUAACGAAGCUCGAGACGCCUACACUCGCGCCAUUGGCGUCUCUGAAAACCUGCCCAACGACCUUUUAGGGGUGCUCUACUCCAAUAGA